GUGCCAGCCGCCGCGGUACUACCGGCAGCUCAAGUGAUGUCCCAUAUUAUUGGGCCUAAAGCGUCCGUAGCUGGCCGCGCAAGUCCAUCGGGAAAUCCACCCGCCCAACGGGUGGGCGUCCGGUGGAAACUGUGUGGCUUGGGACCGGAAGGCGCGACGGGUACGUCCGGGGUAGGAGUGAAAUCCCGUAAUCCUGGACGGACCGCCGAUGGCGAAAGCACGUCGCGAAGACGGAUCCGACAGUGAGGGACGAAAGCUAGGGUCUCGAACCGGAUUAGAAACCCUAGUAGUCC
rnacentral:rRNA from 1 species